CGCAACUUCAAAAACUUUCAAACCAUUAUCGCCGACCGAUCCUAAGGCGAUAAAGUUUGCAAAAUUAGCCAUUGAUGAAUAUAACAAGAGGACUAAGGCCAAUGUGACUUUUGAAAAAAUUAUUAAGGUGACUACGACAACAAAUAAUAUGAUAAUUUCUUCGGAAAUACAUGUUGCUAUUGUUGUUGAGGGAAAUAGAAAUAUUAAAUAGUAUGCAAUUAUUUGGCAAAGAGGAAGUUCAACCAAAAUACUUGCUAUUAGAAAUUAUGAGACCUUUUCUUGCAAUUUUACAAAUUAUAAACUUCUCUUAUUGUAGUCUUCGAUUUAUUUAAUUUUGGUGUUUGAAUCUACUUAUGUGUAUCUCGACGAUAAAAAUGGUCAUUUAUCUUUUCUAGUAGAUUCAAAAAAGUAUUAUAAGUAUCAAUUAAUUAUCAGCUUUUGUUACUCUAAGCUUAUCAGUAGUGAACCAUUUUGGUCUUUAACAAAUACUUAUCAAACUUUGUUUAUUAAGUUUAUUCAAAAUUGUGAAAAAGAAAGUAACUACAAACAUUAGAAUAAUAGUCAAACUUUGAGUUUUUGUAUCUAUUGUCUAGGCUUUUCAAUUAUAUGUUCUAAGAAAUGAAAUAUGAAAUGUAAUUUUAUAUUUUAAGUUUUGUAAUUCAGAUAUUUAACUGUUAUAAUUUGAGUUUUUGACACUUUGAUUGAAAUAAGGGAAAUACCAAGAAAUUGGUCAUUUUAUAAUAUGAAAGGAUCUUAAAAUGACCAAAAUACUCAUUUGUUUUUAUAAAUUAAUAACCAAAAGAAAGAUAAGUAAUUACUUUCAUUUCUUAAAUUCUAGUUAAAUAUGAAAAAAAAAAUUGUCUUCAUGUAAGCGCGGAAGCAGUCUCGAUCAAGACUCAAGGGCUAACUUGGGUUAGGCUUAUUAGACUCAAUUUAAAUGGGCUCAUAAAACAUGCUUUUACCACGAUAAAGUAUUUACCAAAAAAUAAGAUUCUAAUCAAAAAAGAAAAUUAUUAAAAAUAAAAAGAAAUAUACAAAAUCGGCUUGGUUUACAACGUAGCUAUUUGGAUAUAUGGCAAUAUUAAUUUGGAUAUAUUCAAUAGUAUCAGUUCAAAUCAAAUAGAAAAAUAUUUAUUAAAAUUGCAGCAAAUCUUCCUUAAUUAGUAAAAUUGUAAUUACUUCCAAGUCAUAUGUGUUAAUUAAAACAAUUACCUUUUAAUUCCCUUAGACUAUUUAGUAAAAUAAUUUAUGGUCAACAGAAAACAAAAUCUUAAUAACCUAAUUUUUCAUGUACUUACCAACCAAAUUAGGUGUCAAAUUUCAUGUAAAUAAUCCCCUCAUGAAUUAGUGUUAAUCACUCUAAAUAUCAAAUUCUUCUUAAAAGAAAAAUGGCUCUUAAAUUUAAUUUUCUCCUUUUUGUAACUCUUUUGAUGGUAGUAAUUGCUUUUACCUUUUGUCAUGUUUUUACAGCAAAUGAUGAUCAAAAAUUGUUGAAUUACGGAUCAUGGGUCGCCCAAGUGGACCGACCUGACCUGAUCCUAUUUUAAUUGUUUUUGGGUUAUCUGACAUAUUAAGAGGGAAACAAGUAGAUAAGAUUCAAUUUUGAAUCUUGGGCUAACGGUUUCUUCCACUUCCCAUAUAUGUUACAACUCUUCUCCCUCCGUAAAAAACAAGCGAGCAAAAGACAGUAACAAAAAUAUCAACAAAAUCCAAAUAAGAAGCUUUUAGUUUGUGAAUCUACUCUCCGUUUUCUUGAAAGAUGAAGAUUGACUUGGGGCACUUGUAUCAAUAGCAAAUUCAACACUUCCGCUGCAACAGAUUAAGAAAUGGCUGAACGGGAAAAAACUCGAAUCACUCCAAGUGGGAGUUUUGGAUGUCGAGCAAAGAGACAAGGUAGAAGAGUACGUCGCCGAAGGGCAUGUUUUCGAGGUCGCGAGAUCAUUUGAAAUGGUGUCCCCAGGGAGACACAAAAUUUAUUACGGAAUGAAAGUGCUAUACGAAGGGAAAGAGAGAAGAAGUUAAAAGAGUUGAAGUAUUUUAAGAUGUCACCUAAUGUCUCAGUUGCUAGUUUUAUUCAGUUAUUUGAAUUGAAACAUGUAGAACUAGAAAACUAUGUAGAAAUCUCGGAUUGAGAAGCAUUAGCUAUUUUAGCAAAUUCUCUCCGUGAACCUUGGGGCUGGAGAUUAAUUGAUAUUUACCAUGAGAUUUGGCCUAGCGAGCCUUUUUGGGUGUACAUAAGUCGUCUAAAAUAUUUGUGGUAUGACUUUUAUCUUUA